GACGAACGCUGGCGGCGUGGAUUAGGCAUGCAAGUCGAACGGUAUCAUCCUUUCGGGGGUGAGAGAGUGGCGAACUGGUGAGUAACACGUAGGUUAUCUACCCUCAAGACGGGGACAACCCAGGGAAACUUGGGCUAAUACCGGAUGUGAGCAACUUUUAGUUGUUUGAAAGGUGGCGUAAGCUGUCGCUUGGGGAUGAGCCUGCGUCCUAUUAGUUAGUUGGUGAGGUAACGGCUCACCUAGGCAAUGAUAGGCAGGCGGCCUUAACGGGUGGUCGCCCACACUGGGAUUGAGAUACGGCCCAGACUCCUACGGGAGGCAGCAGUCGAGAAUAGUCUACAAUGGUACGGAAGACUGAUAGUGCGACGCCGGUGAACGAUGAACUCCCGUUCGGGGUAGUAAAGUUUCUUUUAUAUGUGAGCAGUGCUUCUUAUAUUAACAGUAGUGGGAGAGAGAUAUUAGCAUAUAGAAUAAGACAACGGACUAACUCCGUGCCAGCAGCCGAGGUAAAA
rnacentral:rRNA from 1 species